rnacentral:lncRNA from 1 species
CGUGAUGUUCAAUUUCACCAUUUUCACGGCUCUGAUAAACAUAAUGUAAAUACAGGGCUUCUUAGUUGUUAAUUCUGUUACUUGAUUCUUUACAUGUGUUUCAAAAACAUAUCUAAACAAAUGAGACACUUGAAAUUUGGCCAAGCAAGUAAAGCAAUAAGAAUCUGGGUUCCUCAACUUGCAAUACAUCUCCAAAUGAUUCCAGGGGGAUAGUGUUUCAAGAAAAGUCUUAUAUACCACGCUUUUGAAAUUUCAAAAACAUCAUCCCACAACAUUUUACGUCUGCCUGCUUUGGAUUUAGCCCAUCAACAGAAAUGGGCCUCAAUUUCAACAAAUCGUGUCUUAUGUAACCUAAGAAGUAAGAACCAAACCAUUCACCUUUUUUCUUUUUUCUUUCUUUUUUUUGUUAUUUGUUAUUUGUUAUUUGUUGAAGGUGACUUUAUAUUUUCUUUGAAAUUUCUAUUCAAUAACCAUUAUUAAUCAUCACGGAAAGCAAAAAGAAUUCAUAUUUAUAAAAAUUUAAAAUAAGAUGCAAAUAAGAAAGGGUAAAAAUUAGAUAUUAUAAGUCAAUCAUGUUUUAAAUUUAAAUCUACGUAUUUUUUUAUAGAUUUUAUAUAAAAGAUUAAAAGAAAUCUCUAGUCCCUUUCACAAAAUUAGAGCAAAUAACGAUCUUGAUUUAAUAAAUUUAAUCUGCAAUGUUUUUGUAUUAUGUUAAUAUUUGCACAGAAUAUAUAAAUAUUGAGGGUCAAAUUAUUAUACCGAUUAAAAUUAUGUACAACUGACAGAAAACAUUAAUGUCGUGAUUUAUUUGUUCUCGGUUGCUCACUUUUGAAAUAAACAGGAUUAAAUUGGUUCAAAAUUUUUUGAAAGGGAUCAAUUUGCUCAAUAUUAUAUUCCAAAAAGAUGACGUAAGUUCGAAUAUUAGACACGACAUUAUUGAAAGAGGCAAUCAUGAGCAUCGAAUAUCAACUUUAAAAAGACAUAGGAAAAUACCAAAAAAAAAGUAAUUAAGGAAGGCGCGGCAGAGUUAGAAAGAGCAUAUGUGUUCCUACAUAAAGAAAAAAAAAGGGGUUUUGAAAGGCUUCAUAUAAUUUUGUUGAAUUUCGGGAACUUUUAAUGUAAUUUUGUUGAACCUUUGACAUGAUUUUGAUAACUUUUCAGUAACCUUUAAAGUAAUAUUUAAUAAACUUGGAUAUAAUUUUAGUAAUUCUUGGUAUAAGUUCACCAAAAGCAAAAAAAGUAGCAACAUAUAAACAAAAUAAACACUAUUGAGUAUUGACAUAUUAUAUCAUUCACCUUUAAAACAUAAUUAGUGCUUUUCAACUUUUGUUUGACAGCAAUAGGUAGGGGGACCUUUCGGCUUUCCUAUGAGCCUAAACUGGUACCCCAAGAGACGGGGGCAUAGAAACCCAAAAUCAAUGGGACACACAUCUUCAGCAACAAAACUUUCACCCUACAAAUGUAGUUGAAACCUUGUUUUGGACCUUCUAGUGGAGUGUCUCCCCGGACAUCACUAACACACCCAGGUUCAGAUGCUAACUAUCAAGUUUAAUUACCUGAUAGCUUUUCAGACUUGUAAUGGAAGUGUUAAGAAUACCGAGGUUUUGACAACUUACCUGUAACUUGGGUUGUAAGAAAUUUUCUUGUCCUCUCCUCCUAUAGAAAUUCAACUACCAUGUAAUAUAGAAGAGCUUGAUUGCCUUUGAAAUU